rnacentral:rRNA from 1 species
UACGGAGGAUGCAAGCGUUAUCCGGAAUCAUUGGGUUUAAAGGGUCCGUAGGCGGCCAAAUAAGACAGUGGUGAAAGCCCAUCGCUCAACGAUGGAACGGCCAUUGAUACUGUUUGGCUUGAAUUAUUAGGAAGUAACUAGAAUAUGUAGUGUAGCGGUGAAAUGCUUAGAGAUUACAUGGAAUACCAAUUGCGAAGGCAGGUUACUACUAAUAUAUUGACGCUGAUGGACGAAAGCGUGGGGAGCGAACAGG